rnacentral:rRNA from 1 species
GAUGAACGCUGGCGGCGUGCCUAACACAUGCAAGUCGAACGGAGAUUCCGGACGGAAGUUUUCGGAUGGAAGACUGUAAUUCUUAGUGGCGGACGGGUGAGUAACGCGUGGGCAACCUGCCCUAUACAGGGGGAUAGCAGCUGGAAACGGCUGGUAAGACCGCAUAAGUCGGCGAGACCGCAUGGUUUUGCCGGGAAAUGAGCAAUCAGGUAUAGGAUGGGCCCGCGUCCGAUUAGCCAGUUGGCAGGGUAAAAGCCUACCAAAGCAACGAUCGGUAGCCGGACUGAGAGGUCGGACGGCCACAUUGGGACUGAGACACAGCCCAAACUCCUACGGGAGGCAGCAGUGGGGGAUAUUGCACAAUGGAGGAAACUCUGAUGCAGCGACGCCGCGUGAGUGAAGAAGUAUUUCGGUAUGUAAAGCUCUAUCAGCAGGGAAGAUGAUGACGGUACCUGACUAAGAAGCCCCGGCUAACUACGUG